rnacentral:rRNA from 1 species
UACGGGGGGGGCAAGCGUUGUUCGGAAUUACUGGGCGUAAAGGGCUCGUAGGCGGCCAACUAAGUCAGACGUGAAAUCCCCAGGCUCAACCUGGGAACUGCGUCUGAUACUGGAUGGCUUGAAUCCGGGAGAGGGAUGCAGAAUUCCAGGUGUAGCGGUGAAAUGCGUAGAUAUCAGGAGGAACACCCGUGGCGAAGGCGGGUCUCUGGACAGUUCCUGACGCUGAGGCACGAAGGUCAGGGGAGCAAACGGG